AUUGAACGCUGGCGGCAGGCUUAACACAUGCAAGUCGAGCGGGGGAAGGUAGCUUGCUACCGGACCUAGCGGCGGACGGGUGAGUAAUGCUUAGGAAUCUGCCUAUUAGUGGGGGACAACAUCUCGAAAGGGAUGCUAAUACCGCAUACGUCCUACGGGAGAAAGCAGGGGAUCUUCGGACCUUGCGCUAAUAGAUGAGCCUAAGUCGGAUUAGCUAGUUGGUGGGGUAAAGGCCUACCAAGGCGACGAUCUGUAGCGGGUCUGAGAGGAUGAUCCGCCACACUGGGACUGAGACACGGCCCAGACUCCUACGGGAGGCAGCAGUGGGGAAUAUUGGACAAUGGGGGGAACCCUGAUCCAGCCGUGCCGCAUGUGUGAAGAAGGCCUUAUGGUUGUAAAGCACUUUAAGCGAGGAGGAGGCUACUUUAGUUAAUACCUAGAGAUAGUGGACGUUACUCGCAGGAUAAGCACCGGCUAACUCUGUGCCAGCAGCCGCCGCGG
rnacentral:rRNA from 1 species